UGAAUUUAGUCGUAUUAAGGCAGAUGGAAAUGACCAAUCAAAUUUCUUGUUGACACUUUUUGGGAAGUGGUCUGAAACAUGUUAUAGAAUACUCAAUCAAGGACAACUAGAGCUGAAGGCAGGUGGGAAAAGAAUAUAUGACUUGGUCAGAAAGUAUGCAUAUGAUUUCUCAAAUAUGAACGUGGAAGAUGCCUUCAGGCUUGUCUCGAUGAAGGUGAUGCUGAUAUUAUUGUCCAGCAAACGUCAGUUACCAGGAAUAGAUGCUGUUAUCAAGUAUAGUUCGGAAAAUGAUGAUCCAGAGUCCACAGUAGAAAAGAUUCCACAACUUACUCAAUACUUGGUUGUAUGUAGCGAUCCAGCCUAGCCGAGGCAGAUAUUUUUGGCAUCGGAGCCUAUCAUUAUGUUUUGAAAUUUUGUGCAGCAACAGUAUGUGCUGUCCAUCGCUAUUAAUUGCGGUAAUUUAUGUGUUCAACACAAAAUCUCAACAAUCAUUAGUAACAUUUUACUGCUGCCUGGAGGUCAUGUUACUUGGAUGUACCUCAGGAAAUGUUACUCUAGCAAUAUCUUAUUUUUAACAGGAUUGCAAUGAGCUAGUAACUUUGUUUGACGAAUUGUGUUUUGCUUUCUUGUUUAGUGCGUUGCUAAGUA